rnacentral:rRNA from 1 species
UUUCCGGUUGAUCUGCCGGACGUGACUGCUAUCGGAUUGAUACUAAGCCAUGUGAGUCAUUGCAGUAAUGCAAGGCAGACGGCUCAGUAACACGUAGUCAACUAACCUAUGGACGGGGAUAACCUCGGGAAACUGAGGAUAAUACCCGAUAGAUCAUAAUGCCUGGAAUGGCUUAUGGUCCAAAUGAUUCGUUGCCAUAGGAUGGGACUGCGGCCUAUCAGCUUGUUGGUGAGGUAGUGGCCCACCAAGGCUAUUACAGGUACGGGCUCUGAGAGGAGAAGCCCGGAGAUGGGUACUGAGACACGGACCCAGGUCCUAUGGGGCGCAGCAGGCGAGAAAACUUUGCAAUGUGCGCAAGCACGACAAGGUUAAUCCGAGUGAUUCCUGCUAAAGGAAUCUUUUGUUAGUUGUAAAACCACUGAUGAAUAAGGGGUGGGCAAGUUCUGGUGUCAGCCGCCGCGGUAAAACCAGCACCUCAAGUGGUCAGGAGGAUUAUUGGGCCUAAAGCAUCCGUAGUCUGUCCUGUAAGUUUCCGGUUAAAUCCAUUUGCUCAACAAAUGGGCUGCCGAAAAUACUGCAGGACUAGGGAGUGGGAGAGGUAGACGGUACUCGGUAGGAAGGGGUAAAAUCCUUUGAUCUAUUGAUGACCACCUGUGGCGAAGGCGGUCUACCAGAACACGUUCGACGGUGAGGGAUGAAAGCUGGGGGAGCAAACCGGAUUAGAUACCCGGGUAGUCCCAGCUGUAAACGAUGCAGACUCGGUGAUGCCCUGGCUUGUGGCCAGUGCAGUGCCGCAGGGAAGCCGUUAAGUUUGCCGCCUGGGAAGUACGUACGCAAGUAUGAAACUUAAAGGAAUUGGCGGGGGAGCACCACAAGGGGUGAAGCCUGCGGUUCAAUUGGAUUCAACGCCGGG